UACAGAGGUCCCAAGCGUUGUUCGGAUUCACUGGGCGUAAAGGGUGCGUAGGCGGUCGGAUAAGUCUGAUGUGAAAUCUUCGAGCUCAACUCGGAAACUGCAUCGGAAACUAUUCGGCUGGAGGAUCGGAGGGGAGACUGGAAUUCUCGGUGUAGCAGUGAAAUGCGUAGAUAUCGAGAGGAACACCAGUGGCGAAGGCGAGUCUCUGGACAAUUCCUGACGCUGAGGCACGAAAGCUAGGGGAGCAAACAGG
rnacentral:rRNA from 1 species